rnacentral:rRNA from 1 species
AUGCAAGUCGAACGGUAACAGAUCUAGCUUGCUAGAUGCUGACGAGUGGCGCACGGGUGCGUAACGCGUAUACAAUCUACCUCUAACUGAGGGAUAGCCCAGAGAAAUUUGGAUUAAUACCUCAUAGUAUUAUAUUAAGGCAUCUUUUUAUAAUUAAAGCUCCGGUGGUUAGAGAUGAGUAUGCGUCCUAUUAGCUAGUUGGUAAGGUAAUAGCUUACCAAGGCUACGAUAGGUAGGGGGCCUGAAAGGGUGAUCCCCCACACUGGUACUGAGACACGGACCAGACUCCUACGGGAGGCAGCAGUGAGGAAUAUUGCACAAUGGAGGAAACUCUGAUGCAGCCAUGCCGCGUGCAGGAUGAAUGCCCUAUGGGUUGUAAACUGCUUUUAUACAAGAAGAAACAUCAGUACGUGUACUGACUUGACGGUAUUGUAUGAAUAAGCACCGGCUAACUCCGUGCCAGCAGCCGCGGUAAUACGGAGGGUGCAAGCGUUAUCCGGAUUUAUUAGGUUUAAAGGGUCCGCAGGCGGAAUAUUAAGUCAGUGGUGUAAGCCUAC